rnacentral:pre_miRNA from 1 species
CGUGACCUACCCUGUAGUUCCGGGCUUUUGUAGAUGAUCCAAUGUGAAAAUCAGAAGCUCGUCUCUACAGGUAUCUCACAG